GGUUUGACCGAGGAGGAAAGAAUGGCAGUUCCACAUCAUGACUGUCAACUGAGCAUCUCAGCUAAGCCAUGUAACAGGUGGAUGAAUGUCAGAAGGACAGCUGAACUGUGAGCCCUGGGAUGAAGUCACCUACAGCCCUAAGACCUGAAAUGCACAUCUCAGCAGAAGCCUGACUGCAGCCGUUAUCCUUGCUGUGGAGAUGAACCAAAGGCCCAAGCGUGAGUGACUUCAAGAUGAAACUCAGGAGCUGAGGCUCAGUGUGGACAUUAAAUUUCC
rnacentral:lncRNA from 1 species